rnacentral:lncRNA from 1 species
GUAAAAAAUUAUAAAAGAAAAAGUUCAAAUCCAACAAAAAUAUAGAAUAAAUUCAAAUGUAUAAAGAUGUUUAAUUGAUGUAAAAUAAAUCAAUGGUCAGCAAGUAAAAACAAUGUUCAUGACGAUAAAUAUUACAUAAUACAGGAAAUAGAUUGAUUACCAAAAUAGAUAUAAAUAAGUAUGCGAACACGAGUCGGUUUGCAUUGGUUUUGUCCAUUGACCCGGGAUCGUAGAUUAGGUUUUAUCCAUCAUGACUGGAAGUGUCAUUUUAUAUGAUCGUUGAUAAAUACUUUAUAAUAAAGUGGACAAGCAAGACAAAAAGAGUAAUGAGUAGAGUAAAAAAAUGAAAAAGCAAAUGGAGGAUAAAGAGUAUUAAAAAAAAUAAGGAAGCGAGAAUUUCAGACAUCUUGACUAUCACUAUCAGAUUGCACCUGGCUAUCUAGGAUGGAAAUUCAGAAAAUAAAUUAUUUUUUUGUUUUUAUAUUUAUAGAUCAAAGGUCAAAAUUAUUUGUUGUCAGAGUGUUAAAUAGAAGGGAUGCUUUAACUGCCCA